GUUGGGUAGGGGAGCGUUCUGUAAGCCUGCGAAGGUGUACUGUGAGGUAUGCUGGAGGUAUCAGAAGUGCGAAUGCUGACAUAAGUAACGAUAAUGCGGGUGAAAAACCCGCACGCCGGAAGACCAAGGGUUCCUGUCCAACGUUAAUCGGGGCAGGGUGAGUCGACCCCUAAGGCGAGGCUGAAAAGCGUAGUCGAUGGGAAACGGGUUAAUAUUCCCGUACUGGUGGUAACUGCGAUGGGGGAACGGAGAAGGCUAGGUUGUCCGGGCGACGGUCGUCCCGGUUCAAGCAGGUAGGCAGAGUGAUUAGGCAAAUCCGGUCACUUAAUGCUGAGAUGUGAUGACGAACCACUAAGGUGGUGAAGCAAUUGAUGCCCCGCUUCCAGGAAAAGCCUCUAAGCUUCAGGUUACCAACAAUCGUACCCCAAACCGACACAGGUGGUCAGGUAGAGAAUACUCAGGCGCUUGAGAGAACUCGGGUGAAGGAACUAGGCAAAAUGGUGCCGUAACUUCGGGAGAAGGCACGCUGGCGGUAGGUAAAGUCCCUUGCGGACGGCGCUGAAGCCAGUCGAAGAUACCAGCUGGCUGCAACUGUUUAUUAAAAACACAGCACUGUGCAAACACGAAAGUGGACGUAUACGGUGUGACGCCUGCCCGGUGCUGGAAGGUUAAUUGAUGGGGUCAGCCGCAAGGCGAAGCUCCUGAUCGAAGCCCCAGUAAACGGCGGCCGUAACUAUAACGGUCCUAAGGUAGCGAAAUUCCUUGUCGGGUAAGUUCCGACCUGCACGAAUGGCGUAAUGAUGGCCAGGCUGUCUCCACCCGAGACUCAGUGAAAUUGAACUCGCUGUGAAGAUGCAGUGUACCCGCGGCAAGACGGAAAGACCCCGUGAACCUUUACUAUAGCUUGACACUGAACAUUGAGCCUUGAUGUGUAGGAUAGGUGGGAGGCUUUGAAGUGUGGACGCCAGUCUGCAUGGAGCCAACCUUGAAAUACCACCCUUUAACGUUUGAUGUUCUAACCUAGGCCCAUAAACUGGGUCGGGGACCGUGUCUGGUGGGUAGUUUGACUGGGGCGGUCUCCUCCUAAAGAGUAACGGAGGAGCACGAAGGUUGGCUAAGCAUGGUCGGACAUCAUGCGGUUAGUGCAAAGGCAUAAGCCAGCUUGACUGCGAGAGUGACGGCUCGAGCAGGUACGAAAGUAGGUCUUAGUGAUCCGGUGGUUCUGAAUGGAAGGGCCAUCGCUCAACGGAUAAAAGGUACUCCGGGGAUAACAGGCUGAUACCGCCCAAGAGUUCAUAUCGACGGCGGUGUUUGGCACCUCGAUGUCGGCUCAUCACAUCCUGGGGCUGAAGUAGGUCCCAAGGGUAUGGCUGUUCGCCAUUUAAAGUGGUACGCGAGCUGGGUUUAGAACGUCGUGAGACAGUUCGGUCCCUAUCUGCCGUGGGCGUUGGAAGAUUGAGAGGGGUUGCUCCUAGUACGAGAGGACCGGAGUGAACGCACCACUGGUGUUCGGGUUGUCAUGCCAAUGGCAUUGCCCGGUAGCUAAGUGCGGAAGAGAUAACCGCUGAAAGCAUCUAAGCGGGAAACUUGCCUCGAGAUGAGUCUUCCCUGUCGCUUUAAGCGACCUAAAGGAACGUUUAAGACUAAGACGUUGAUAGGCUGGGUGUGUAAGCGUAGCGAUACGUUGAGCUAACCAGUACUAAUGAACCGUGAGGCUUAACCUG
rnacentral:rRNA from 1 species